rnacentral:rRNA from 1 species
GAUGAACGCUAGCGGCAGGCCUAAUACAUGCAAGUCGAGGGGUAGUGGUUGCUUGCAGCCAUGAGACCGGCGCACGGGUGCGUAACGCGUAUGCAACCUACCUUCAUCUGGGGGAUAGCCCGGAGAAAUCCGGAUUAAUACCGCAUAAAAUCACAGUACGGCAUCGGACAAUGAUCAAACAUUUAUGGGAUUGAGAUGGGCGUGCGUGUCAUUAGUUAGUUGGCGGGGUAACGGCCCACCAAGACCGCGAUAACUAGGGGAUCUGAGAGGAUGACCCCCCACACUGGUACUGAGACACGGACCAGACUCCUACGGGAGGCAGCAGUAAGGAAUAUUGGUCAAUGGGCGCAAGCCUGAACCAGCCAUGCCGCGUGCAGGAAGACGGCCCUCUGGGUUGUAAACUGCUUUUAUUCGGGAAUAAACCUGCUUACGUGUAAGUAGCUGAAUGUACCGAAGGAAUAAGGAUCGGCUAACUCCGUGCCAGCAGCCGCCGUAAUAC